rnacentral:rRNA from 1 species
AUGAACGCUAGCGGCAGGCUUAACACAUGCAAGUCGAGGGGCAGCACGAGGUAGCAAUACUUUGGUGGCGACCGGCGCACGGGUGCGUAACGCGUAUGCAACCUACCUUUAACAGGGGCAUAACACUGAGAAAUUGGUACUAAUUCCCCAUAACAUUCGAGAAGGCAUCUUCUUGGGUUAAAAACUCCGGUGGUUAAAGAUGGGCAUGCGUUGUAUUAGCUAGUUGGUGAGGUAACGGCUCACCAAGGCAACGAUACAUAGGGGGACUGAGAGGUUAACCCCCCACAUUGGUACUGAGACACGGACCAAACUCCUACGGGAGGCAGCAGUGAGGAAUAUUGGUCAAUGGACGCAAGUCUGAACCAGCCAUGCCGCGUGCAGGAAGACGGCUCUAUGAGUUGUAAACUGCUUUUGUACUAGGGUAAACGCUCCUACGUGUAGGAGUCUGAAAGUAUAGUACGAAUAAGGAUCGGCUAACUCCGUGCCAGCAGCCGCGGUAAUACGGAGGAUCCAAGCGUUAUCCGGAUUUAUUGGGUUUAAAGGGUGCGUAGGCGGUUUGAUAAGUUAGAGGUGAAAUACCGGGGCUCAACUCCGGAACUGCCUCUAAUACUGUUGAACUAGAGAGUAGUUGCGGUAGGCGGAAUGUAUGGUGUAGCGGUGAAAUGCUUAGAGAUCAUACAGAACCCGAUUGCGAAGGCAGCUUACCAAACUAUAUCUGACGUUGAGGCACGAAAGCGUGGGGAGCAAACAGGAUUAGAUACCCUGGUAGUCCACGCAGUAAACGAUGAUAACUCGUUGUCGGCAAUACACAGUCGGUGACUAAGCGAAAGCGAUAAGUUAUCCACCUGGGGAGUACGUUCGCAAGAAUGAAACUCAAAGGAAUUGACGGGGGCCCGCACAAGCGGAGGAACAUGUGGUUUGAUUCGAUGAUACGCGAGGAACCUUACCCGGGCUUGAAAGUUAGUGACGAUUCUGGAAACAGGAUUUCCCUUCGGGGCACGAAACUAGGUGCUGCAUGGUUGUCGUCAGCUCGUGCCGUGAGGUGUCGGGUUAAGUCCCAUAACGAGCGCAACCCCUACCGUUAGUUGCCAUCAGGUCAAGCUGGGCACUCUGGCGGGACUGCCGGUGUAAGCCGAGAGGAAGGUGGGGAUGACGUCAAAUCAGCACGGCCCUUACGUCCGGGGCUACACACGUGUUACAAUGGUAGGUACAGAGGGCCGCUACCCCGUGAGGGGAUGCCAAUCUCGAAAGCCUAUCUCAGUUCGGAUCGGAGGCUGAAACCCGCCUCCGUGAAGUUGGAUUCGCUAGUAAUCGCGCAUCAGCCAUGGCGCGGUGAAUACGUUCCCGGGCCUUGUACACACCGCCCGUCAAGCCAUGGAAGCUGGGGGUGCCUGAAGUUCGUGACCGCAAGGAGCGACCUAGGGCAAAACCGGUGACUGGGGCU